rnacentral:rRNA from 1 species
UACGGAGGGGGCGAGCGUUAUUCGGAAUCAUUGGGCGUAAAGGGCGCGUAGGCGGCCCCGUAAGUCUUGGGUGAAAGCCCUCGGCUCAACCGAGGAAUUGCCUUGGAUACUGCGGGGCUCGAGGCUGGAAGAGGGCAGUGGGAAUUCCCGGUGUAGCGGUGAAAUGACGUAGAUAUCGGGAGGAACACCAGUGGCGAAGGCGGCUGCCUGGCCA